ensembl:lncRNA
GGCCAGGAAUCGAACCCACAUCUGCGUGGUUCCUAGUUGAAUUUGUUUCUGCUGGGCCAUGACAGACACUCCAGGAGUGGAUAAUUUUGAAACACAUUUAUUUUGAGAAAAAUGAAAAAGGGUCAAAUACUUUGGUGUUCUAUUCAUCUUAAAAAAAAUGAUAAGGUUUCCUGUUAUUUCCUCUCAUUGGUGUUACUGCUACUUUAUUUUUUGAGGAAAGUGAACCUGGGUUAUAAAGGAGUUAGGUUGUUAUUUUCAGUGGAAAGGAUUCUGAUUGGCAUAAGUUUAGGGUUCAGUUUGUGAGCCAGAGCAACAAAAUAUUGUUUACUGAGCAACGUCCCUCUGUGAAGGACUCUGCUAAGUGCCGAAGGGCGUAGGGUAAUUAAGAUGCUUUUGGGGCAACUGAUUGGCUUAAGCAAUAAGGAAAUUUGUUGUCUCUUAUGAGAAGAAGUAGGACAGCCUCCAGGCACAGUUGUGGCAAGUUUCUGCUCUCCUGGGUGUGUCUCAUGGUUAAACCUUCCUAUUUUUUUUUGGUCUUCUUAGGGCUGUACCUGUGGCAUAUGGAGGCUCCUGGGCUAGGAAUCGAAUCAGAGCUCUAGUCGCCAGUCUACACCACAGCCACAGCAACACCAGAUACCAGCUGUGUCUGCAACCUACCUCACAGCUCACCGCAACGCCAGAUCCUUAACCCACUGAGCGAGGCCAGGGAUCGAACCUGUGUCCUCACGGAUGCCAGUUGGGUUCAUUAACUGCUGAGCCACGAUAGGAACCCCUCCGCCUUCCUGUUUUGAUGGCUUCAUCUUUAGGUAAGGAGCAAGAUGGCUGCAGGGAUUCCAGGUACCACAUGCAGAUCUGCUAACAUCCACAGACGAAAGAAGGCUCGUCUCUUCUUUGAGUGUCUCAGAUGUGAAAUACGUUUUCUGAGAAGCCCCUCAGCAGACUUCCCUCCCAUCCCGUGCACCGGGACUGGGUCCCAGGUCCGUUUGUCAAUCAGUCACUGGCUGAGGAAAUGCAAUUAUCAUGACUGGCUCAGAUCAGGGGGUUGGCAAGCUGCUGCUUCCCACCUAUUUUUAUAAAUGAAUAGGCUGGCAUAGGCUGUGACCAGCCCUUUACGUAAUGCCAGUUACCCCUUCCACAGUAAGGCAGUGCCAUCGAGAUCCUGCUGGUAAAGGCUAAAUUAUUUACUCUCUGCCCUUUACAGAAAAAGGGCUGAUCCUUGGCUUAGAUGAGUCAUCUGAGAUGUGUUGGUGUUGGAGAGUCAAGGUCACAGAAGGGGUGUAGGAUGUGGUCCUGUCUCUCAAAUAGAUUAGUGGGGGAAAUGAUUCUUAAUAUGUUAAAAUAUCUGUAGAUGCUGGGUUACCAAUGGCAGCUGUCCCCCCAUAACUACUUUUAAUUGGAACUUUUCUUCCCCUUCCAUUCCAAAGUAGGAAAAAAAAACACCUCUUCACCCAUUUAUCAUGGUUCAUUCCAAAAAUGAAUGAGGGAAAAAUUCCAUUUGUCUUUUUCCUUUAUGGCCAUUGAUUUAAAAAUCAAAAAGCGCAGAGCAAGCAUGUCUGAAAGAUUAAUGAAUAGGCAGCAGUAGGUGUUCGAACUGUUCAUUCUGUACCUUGACUGAAUACAUGAUUCUAAGUGGGUGAUAUUGAAGUUAACACACACGUGCAUAUAUGAGCACAAGUAAAACUAAGAAAGUCUGGAAGGUUGGGGGGCUUGUCUCCAUGUCAGCAUCCUGAUUGUGAUAUUAUACUAGAGUUUUGGAAAAACCCCCAGGCAAAGUGUACCGGGAUUGCUCUGUAUAUUUCUUUCAACUGAAAGUGACUCUACAGUUAUGUCAGUAAAAUUUGCAAUUAAAGAUAAAUGAGUUAAAAGGACAUGGAAACCCUGGGUAGGUGGCAAUUACAUCCCAAAUGUAAGAGAGCUGACCUUGGGGCUACUAUUAGCCAAUUUUGAGAAGCUGUGAUAGGAAUGUUGCCAAAAAUGGGAAAUGCUGUUCCCAUUUUCCUAAGUGGUCUUUCGCAUUUCUCUUAAUCCCUGAGUAGUUUAGACUCUUAACUAGAUGACAGUAAUUGGAAAAUAAUAAAGAGGUCACCAGAAGCCAAUAAGGGUUCACUAAGAACAUUCAUGAUGGUAGCCGGGUUCAAAAGAUAGUCUAUAGUGGGUGCAUCUUCAUUUCAACAAAGCACUCAAAAAAUCCCAUAUCGAAUUUUUGAAAAUAAGAUUGUACAGUUAGUUGGGGAUAGCCCACUGAGUGACUUUUGCUAGAGAAUGUUGAUUUUCUUGGCUUUAGGCCACACAAAAGGAAGGGCAAUAGCAAAAACCUAUUUUUAUUCGGAACUUGAAAAAAAAGUAGAGGCCCUGGUUAAAAAAAAUUGCAGAUGAUGUAAAGCUCUCAAAAGAAUGCUUCAUUAUGAUGAGUGGCAGUGUCAUUUCACAUUGGUGUGGAAGUGCUGGGAUAAUGGGCCCAAACUAAUGAAAAUAUUUUUUUAAAUUAAAAGGCAACACUGGAGUUCCCUUUUGGCUCAGUGGCUUAAGGAUCUGGUGUUGUCAUUGCUGUGGCUCAAGCCACUGCUGUGGCAUGGGUCUGCUCUCUGGCCUGGGAAU